rnacentral:tRNA from 1 species
CAGGGAGACAACAAAAUGUUAAAUAUUAAUUUUGUCACCUUAGGUCGAUCGGUAUCUCACAUUCUUAAAUUUAUUAAGGAUUUUAUUUCCUAAGUUUUUUCUAGGUCACACCCAUUACUUUUCCUGGGCCAUUAGCUCAGGUGGUUAGAGCGCACCCCUGAUAAGGGUGAGGUCCCUGGUUCAAGUCCAGGAUGGCCCAUAUCUCUAUGUUGGGGGUAUAGCUCAGUUGGUAGAGCGCCUGCUUUGCAAGCAGGAUGUCAGCGGUUCGAGUCCGCUUACCUCCACUGAUUACCACCUCUUCCAUAAAUCUGUAGAAAGGAAUUGUUUUGAGUUGUGAUCAAAUUCUGAACGAAUCUAGCUUCCUAAUGAAAUUAUUAAGAUGCUGGACUCAUUGAAUUAAUUUCAUUGUUUUCAGAGAACCUUGACAACUGCAUAGAUUAUUUUUAAAGACAAUAAGCAUCUUUAAUGAUGCAGAUUUAUUAUUUGUGCGAAUGCAUUAAUAACAAUUCUAUUAAGCUGAUGCUUCAAUUUUGAAGUUAUU